GAGUUUGAUUCUGGCUCAGGAUGAACGCUAGCGGCGGGCCUAAUACAUGCAAGUCGAACGGGAUUGGUAGCAAUACCAUGAGAGUGGCGUACGGGUGCGUAACACGUAUACAAUCUGCCCACCACACGGGAAUAGCCUUACGAAAGUGAGAUUAAUACCCGAUGAUACUAUCCAAAGGCAUCUUUGAGUAGUUAAAGCCGAGGCGGUGGUGGAGGAGUAUGCGUCCCAUUAGCUAGUUGGUAGUGUAACGGACUACCAAGGCUACGAUGGGUAGGGGUUCUG
rnacentral:rRNA from 1 species